ACAAGCGGUGGAUGAUGUGGAUUAAUUCGAUGCAACGCGAAAACCUUACUACCCUUGACAUGUCCGGAAUCCCGAAGAGAUUUGGGAGUGCUCGCAAGAGAACCGGAACACAGGUGCUGCAUGGCUGUCGUCAGCUCGUGUCGUGAGAUGUUGGGUUAAGUCCCGCAACGAGCGCAACCCUUGUCAUUAGUUGCCAUCAUUUGGUUGGGCACUCUAAUGAGACUGCCGGUGACAAACCGGAGGAAGGUGGGGAUGACGUCAAGUCCUCAUGGCCCUUAUGGGUAGGGCUUCACACGUCAUACAAUGGUCGGUACAGAGGGUUGCCAACCCGCGAGGGGGAGCUAAUCCCACAAAGCCGAUCGUAGUCCGGAUCGCAGUCUGCAACUCGACUGCGUGAAGUCGGAAUCGCUAGUAAUCGUGGAUCAGCAUGUCACGGUGAAUACGUUCCCGGGUCUU
rnacentral:rRNA from 1 species